CUAUGGAGUUAAUACUUUAUAGUAAUUAACUAGUUUUAAUGACCGUUAUGUUUAGUUUUCAGAGAUUAGUUUCUCUGACAAUAACAAGUAAAUGUUAUUGGAAUUGUUCUUUGAAAACUGGAUAAUAGACAUCUAGUUAUUUUAAUCACAUGAUUAAAAUAACAAUAAUUCAAAAUUUCUGUUAUUUUUAAAAAAUAACUAAAAUUUCACAGUUAUAUUUGUAAAUGAUUCUCAAAAAACUGAUUUAAAAUCAGGUCAAAUAAUUUAUAAAACUUUGAAGUUACAAAGGGCGUAUGGUGAAUGCCUUGG
rnacentral:misc_RNA from 2 species